UACGUAGGGGGCAAGCGUUAUCCGGAUUUACUGGGUGUAAAGGGAGCGUAGACGGCUAAGCAAGUCUGAAGUGAAAGCCCGGGGCUCAACCCCGGGACUGCAUUUGGAACUGUAUGGCUGGAGUGUCGGAGAGGCAGGCGGAAUUCCUAGUGUAGCGGUGAAAUGCGUAGAUAUUAGGAGGAACACCGGUGGCGAAGGCGGCUUGCUGGACGGUAACUGACGUUGAGGCUCGAAAGCGUGGGGAGCAAACAGG
rnacentral:rRNA from 1 species